rnacentral:rRNA from 1 species
AGAGUUUGAUCCUGGCUCAGGACGAACGCUGGCGGCGCGCCUAACACAUGCAAGUCGAACGAGAGAUGAGGAGCUUGCUCUUCAAAUCGAGUGGCGAACGGGUGAGUAACGCGUGAGGAACCUGCCUCAAAGAGGGGGACAACAGUUGGAAACGACUGCUAAUACCGCAUAAGCCCACGGCUCGGCAUCGAGCAGAGGGAAAAGGAGCAAUCCGCUUUGAGAUGGCCUCGCGUCCGAUUAGCUAGUUGGUGAGGUAACGGCCCACCAAGGCGACGAUCGGUAGCCGGACUGAGAGGUUGAACGGCCACAUUGGGACUGAGACACGGCCCAGACUCCUACGGGAGGCAGCAGUGGGGAAUAUUGCACAAUGGGGGAAACCCUGAUGCAGCGACGCCGCGUGGAGGAAGAAGGUCUUCGGAUUGUAAACUCCUGUUGUUGAGGAAGAUAAUGACGGUACUCAACAAGGAAGUGACGGCUAACUACGUGCCAGCAGCCGCGGUAAAACGUAGGUCACAAGCGUUGUCCGGAAUUACUGGGUGUAAAGGGAGCGCAGGCGGGAGAACAAGUUGGAAGUGAAAUCCAUGGGCUCAACCCAUGAACUGCUUUCAAAACUGUUUUUCUUGAGUAGUGCAGAGGUAGGCGGAAUUCCCGGUGUAGCGGUGGAAUGCGUAGAUAUCGGGAGGAACACCAGUGGCGAAGGCGGCCUACUGGGCACCAACUGACGCUGAGGCUCGAAAGUGUGGGUAGCAAACAGGAUUAGAUACCCUGGUAGUCCACACCGUAAACGAUGAUUACUAGGUGUUGGAGGAUUGACCCCUUCAGUGCCGCAGUUAACACAAUAAGUAAUCCACCUGGGGAGUACGACCGCAAGGUUGAAACUCAAAGGAAUUGACGGGGGCCCGCACAAGCAGUGGAGUAUGUGGUUUAAUUCGACGCAACGCGAAGAACCUUACCUGCUCUUGACAUCCCAUUCGAUAGAGGGUAAUGCCUCUAGCCCUUCGGGGGAAUGGAGACAGGUGGUGCAUGGUUGUCGUCAGCUCGUGUCGUGAGAUGUUGGGUUAAGUCCCGCAACGAGCGCAACCCUUAUCGUCAGUAGCCAGCAGGUGAAGCUGGGCACUCUGAUGAGACUGCCGGGGAUAACCCGGAGGAAGGUGGGGAUGACGUCAAAUCAUGAUGCCCCUUAUGAGCAGGGCUACACACGUGCUACAAUGGCGUAAACAGAGGGAAGCGAAGGAGUGAUCCGGAGCAAAUCUCAAAAAUAACGUCUCAGUUCGGAUUGUAGUCUGCAACUCGACUACAUGAAGCUGGAAUCGCUAGUAAUCGCAGAUCAGAAUGCUGCGGUGAAUACGUUCCCGGGCCUUGCACUCACCGCCCGUCA